CUCGAGUGGGAUAACUAUGGUUAAGGAACUCGGCAAAUUGCCUCCGUAACUUCGGGAGAAGGAGGACCCCAGUAGCGUGAUGAGACUUGCUCUCUGAGCGUGAAGGGGUGGCACAAAAUUGAGGGAAGCGACUGUUUACCAAAAACACAGCAGCGUGCUAAGCCGUAAGGCGCUGUAUACGCUGUGACUCCUGCCCGGUGCUGGAAGGUUACGGGGAUGGGUUAGUCCUUCGGGACGAAGCUCUGAACCUAAGCCCCAGUAAACGGCGGCCGUAACUAUAACGGUCCUAAGGUAGCGAAAUUCCUUGUCGGGUAAGUUCCGACCUGCACGAAUGGAGUAACGACUUCCCUACUGUCUCAACCAUAGACCCAGCGAAAUUGAAGUACGAGUAAAGAUGCUCGUUAGCUGCAGAAGGACGGAAAGACCCCGUGGACCUUUACUAUAACUUGAUGUUGUGUUUUGUCAUAUGUUGUGUAGGAUAGGUGGGAGACUUGGAAGCAUGGACGCUAGUCUGUGUGGAGUCAUCGUUGAAAUACCACCCUGCAUAUGGUGAGGCUCUAACCUAGACCCGUUAUCCGGGUUGGGGACAGCGUCAGGCGGGUAGUUUAACUGGGGCGGUUGCCUCCUAAAGAGUAACGGAGGCGCCCAAAGGUUCCCUCAGCCUGGUUGGCAAUCAGGCGUUGAGUGCAAUGGCAAAAGGGAGCUUGACUGCGAGACCUACAAGUCGAGCAGGAGCGAAAGCUGGGCAUAGUGAUCCGGCGGUUGCGUGUGGAAGCGCCGUCGCUCAACGGAUAAAAGGUACCCCGGGGAUAACAGGCUAAUCUUGCCCAAGCGUCCAUAGCGACGGCAAGGUUUGGCACCUCGAUGUCGGCUCAUCGCAUCCUGGGGCUGAAGCAGGUCCCAAGGGUUGGGCUGUUCGCCCAUUAAAGCGGUACGCGAGCUGGGUUCAGAACGUCGUGAGACAGUUCGGUCCCUAUCCUCUGCAGCCGGAGGUGAAUUGAGGAAAGCUGUCCCUAGUACGAGAGGACCGGGACGGACGCAGCUCUCGUGUGCCAGUUGUCCUGCCAAGGGCAUGGCUGGUUAGCGACCUGCGGAAAGGAUAACCGCUGAAAGCAUCAAGCGGGAAGCCUCUUCCAAGAUGGAUUCACCCACAGGGUUAACCUGGUAAGGCCCGUGGUAGACCACCACGUUGAUAGGCCGGAAGUGUAAGCGUGGCAACACGUUCAGCUGACCGGUACUAAUCGGCCGAGGGCUUGAGUG
rnacentral:rRNA from 1 species